UACGGAGGGGACUAGCGUUGUUCGGAAUUACUGGGCGUAAAGCGCACGUAGGCGGAUUUGUAAGUCAGGGGUGAAAUCCCGGGGCUCAACCUCGGAACUGCCUUUGAUACUGCAAAUCUCGAGUCCGGAAGAGGUGAGUGGAAUUCCUAGUGUAGAGGUGAAAUUCGUAGAUAUCGGGAAGAACACCCGUGGCGAAGGCGGUUCUCUGGGACGGUACUGACGCUGAGACGCGAAAGCGUGGGGAGCGAACAGG
rnacentral:rRNA from 1 species